rnacentral:rRNA from 1 species
CUGCCAGUUGUCAUAUGCUUGUACUAAAAGAUUAAGCCAUGCAAGUGUAAGUAUAAAUAGACAAAUUAUUGUACUAUGAGACUGCGAAUGGCUCAUUAAAUCAGCAAUCAUUUAUUCGGUGGAUGAAGUAAUUCUAAAAUGGAUAACCGUGGGAAAUCUAGAGCUAAUACAUGCAAAAGAGAAUUCUUUAGAAAAAGGAAUGCAUAUAUUAGAUACAAAUCCAAAAAUACAAAAGGUGAAUCAUAAUAUUUAUAGCAAAUUAUACAGAGGAAGUAAUUCUUCUUGAUAAUAAACCGAUCAAAUUUCUGCCCUAUCAUACUUUGGACGGUAAUGUAGUGGAUUACGGUGGUGAUGACGGGUAACGGAGAAUUAGGGUUUGAUUCCGGAGAGGGAGCAUGAGAAAUGGCUACCACUUCCAAGGAAGGCAGCAGGCGC